rnacentral:rRNA from 1 species
GGACUACACGGGUUUCUAAUCCUGUUUGCUACCCACGCUUUCGUGUCUCAGCGUCAGAAGUGGUCCAGAAAGCUGUCUACACCACAGGUGUUCCUCCUGAUAUCUACGCAUUUCACCGCUACACCAGGAAUUCCGCUUUCCUCUCCCACCCUCAAGCAUUCCAGUUUCCGCUGCACCCUCCCAGUUAAGCCGGGAGAUUUCACAACAGACUUGGAGCACCGCCUACACACUCUUUACGCCCAGUAAUUCCGAACAACGCUCGCUGCCUACGUAUUACCGCGGCUGCUGGCAC